rnacentral:rRNA from 1 species
CACACCGCCCGUCACACCAUGGGAGUUGGUUUGACCUGAAGACGGUGCGCUAACCGCAAGGAGGCAGCCGGCCACGGCCAGGUCAGCGACUGGGGUG